UACGAGUGCCCCGAGCGUUAUCCGGAAUCAUUGGGCGUAAAGGGUGUGUAGGCGGUCGCGUUAGUCUCCUGUUAAAUUCUUCGGCUUAACCGGGGGCAUGCAGGGGAAACGGCGCGACUAGAGGAUGCGAGGGGUGAAUGGAACUCAUGGUGUAGGGGUGAAAUCCGUUGAUAUCAUGGGGAACACCAAAAGCGAAGGCAGUUCACUGGCGCAUUCCUGACACUGAGACACUAAAGCGUGGGUAGCGAAUGGG
rnacentral:rRNA from 1 species